AUCUACUGUUCCCCUGUGGUACAAGCCACAGGCCCACCAAAUUGUUUCAAUCAGGUACGCCUCUGUGCUCUGAGAGACUGGAGGAAGCUACCAGCUGGGGGAGGCACAGGUUCUCUACAAGGCUUAAGGCAGAGAGCCACUCAGGACUUGCCACAGUUUAUUGACAGAGUAAACAAGGCAAUAGAAGAGAAGGUGUCUCAGGAAGGAGCUAGGGCAGCACUAACCAAGGGUUUGAUCUGGGAUGGACUAAAUAAGGAACAUAGAGCAGCAGCGGCACCAGUACGCAAUGGCACACUGGAUGAAUGGACUUUGGCCACCCAGGAUAGAGGGACACAAGCAGCUCAAGCCUCUCUGCUGGCCUCAGCCAUGGCAGUUGCAUAAAAGCAGGACUAAGGAGGCUUGCAGACAGCUAGUCAGAGAACGCAAAAAAUAUGCAUCUUUUCUCCCCAGUGGCUCUUUACAACCUGAUGGAGUGAAUCCCCAAGAGUUAAAAUCUAAUGCUUUUUGGCAAAUGGAUGUCACUCACUAUGCACCUUUUGGAAAUUUAAAAUACAUUCAUGUAAUCCUUGAUGUCUAUUCAGGCUGUGUAAUGGCCACAGCCUCCACAGGAGAAACCACAAAAAGUCAUCUCCCAUCUACUUCAAUGUUUUGGAAUUAUGGGUGUUCCUAUGUCUAUUAAGACUGACAAAGGGCCAGCCUACCCGAGCAAGACAUUUCAAGCAGAUUGCAAUGAAUGGCAUAUAUAGCACUUAACUGGAAUCCCCUAUAACCCCCAGACUCAAGGCAUCAUAGAAAGAACACACAAGGAAUUAAAGACCAUGCUAUAAAACAUGGGGGAAACUAUACCGAGUCUCCUUGCAAUGCCUUGAACAAAACUUUAUUUGCUUUAAAUUUUCUCUCAAUGUCAAAAUUUUCUAUGGAAACAGCAGCUCAUAAACAUUGGGUCCCCCUCAUGGGGCCCUCCCAUCUUCCUAUGGUCUCAUGGAAGGAUCCCAUAACAAAUGCAUGGGGUGGUCUGGGGCCCCUCCUAACCAUGGGUCAAGGGUUUGCAUAUGUUAACAGGAGCCUCACCCCAUCUGGGUGCCUGCCAGAAAGUCAAGCCCUGGACCCCCAGAACCACCAACCAAGAAGAUGAAGGAACUAACUCUGGAGGAAAAACCUCACAGGCAAAGAACUCAACAACACUAAUGGACCUCACAUAAAGUAACCUGGGGUGAUCUUAAAGGUCUUGUUGACCAAGCCACCAGAUUGGCCCCUUUGCCUGGUGGCAACCCCAUCUCUGGGCCUAUGAUGGUGGUCCUACUGUGUGCAAUGCUCACUGCUAACAGUGAAGCCUCCUGUCAGGUAAAUUGAGCUUUGGUUACUAGGCCACCACCUUUAGCAGUUGCUAAUUAGGAAGGGGCUUUACCUGAGCUCUUCUCUAAUAAUUCCAACCUUAUUGAUCCUGAGUUAUUCAUCCAGGAGGUGACAGUACCCUGGAACCAGCAUUUCCAUAGCUACUCUGCCCAUUUGUUUCUCUGUAGUAGAUAAUGAAACCUAUAAUCCAGACAGUCACCUCUGUUUUGCUCUUGUCAAUGAAAUUUUUGUAGAUAACUAUAAUAAGCCUUAUGUUGGGCUGUCUCUCACUGACCUUAGAGUUACAGUUAAUGCUACCUAUGGCCAUAGACUCCCCCAUGGCAAAUGCAAGAAACCCUUGCUGCCAACAUGCCCAACAACGCUUUUUGGAAAGCCCCCCACCCC
rnacentral:lncRNA from 1 species